rnacentral:rRNA from 1 species
GAUGAACGCUGGCGGCGUGCUUAACACAUGCAAGUCGAACGAUGAAGCCCAGCUUGCUGGGUGGAUUAGUGGCGAACGGGUGAGUAACACGUGAGUAACCUGCCCUUGACUCUGGGAUAAGCGCUGGAAACGGCGUCUAAUACCGGAUACGAGCUUCCACCGCAUGGUGAGUUGCUGGAAAGAAUUUCGGUCAAGGAUGGACUCGCGGCCUAUCAGGUAGUUGGUGAGGUAACGGCUCACCAAGCCGACGACGGGUAGCCGGCCUGAGAGGGUGACCGGCCACACUGGGACUGAGAAACGGCGCAGACUCCUACGGGAGGCAGCAGUGGGGAAUAUUGCACAAUGGGCGCAAGCCUGAUGCAGCAACGCCGCGUGAGGGACGAAGGCCUUCGGGUCGUAAACCUCUUUUAGCAGGGAAGAAGCGAAAGUGACGGUACCUGCAGAAAAAGCACCGGCUAACUACGUG